rnacentral:misc_RNA from 1 species
GGAAAAAGAAAUCACUGUAGUUAUUUAAUUCAUCACAUCAAGACGUUAAAAUAAGUUUUCCAUAGUGACCAUGAAGUAAGCUCAUCACUAUAGAAAGAUGCUCAAUAUUUCUCCCACAACAGGAAUAGCUUACAAAGAAGGAAUGUUCAUACAUGAACAUUUCACAGAGUCUAUCUACGUCUUUGAAAAACAAAUAAAGAACCUCUAGAGCCUUUUCCUAACCUAAUCUUCUCGUCGAUGUAUGUUAUCUGCAGCUUAACCUCACUUUGACCGCCAUACUGAAACUCUAGUGCUCCAACCUUCAGUUGAGGUGCCUCAAAUAUAACUUGGAUCCAACUCUCAUUCAAAACCUUCAACUUACCUAGAUAUUGAGAAAGUAAGGGUAAUUCAACAUCCAAUGCAUUUAAGAAAGGAAGCUAAAGUUGGGCUACAUGCCAAUGCCAAAAUUGAAGGAUCAACUUAAAUUGUAACCUAGGAGCGGUAGUGGAUCCAGAAAUUCUUUUCAGUUAAGUCAAUUUGAGUCUGGUGAAACAGGGAUAUGAAUCAAAAGCAACAAAGCAUAAUGGGUAGCAUUUGUGAACAACACAUUUUUCUCCCCAUAUUAGCUAAUGGAGAGAACUCAUGAGGAUCCACUGAACGGAUCAUUUCUAUUUGCUAACCGCACACACUACAGUGGAACUUCUGUGCUGAAAAAUCCCAACUCAAAUUUAUAUCGUUGCAAGAACAGAAAACCGCAUCCUAUGACUUAAGAAUGUAGGAGGCACAUGCACAAAGAAUGUGGGCAAUAGGGGCAGGGGAGAUCGAAAGCUGGGUUACUGGAACCACAGCCUAGGAGGCAUAAAAAUUGAUGGAAAUGGAUGUUCUAGAAUCUUAACUAUCAAUUCACAACAACACUAAUGCAUCUAAGCUCAUCCUACAAAUCUUGAGCACAUAACUCAAGAAUCAUGUAUUAGGAACUUUGCUGUUCCAUUUAUUCAUAGAAUAAUAAUAAAAAAAUAAUGCAGAUUGGCCUACCUUUGAGAGAGACCUCUCCAUCAAGGAAACCCAAAAGAGAAAAGGACACCUUAUUCCUUAUAGUGUCAGGAGCUUCAACCGCCUGAAUCAUUUCCUUGGUUCUAAAUACAAGACGGCCCAAUGCACUCCUAUACCCACCCCCAGGUGAAGUUGGUCUCGAACAGUACACCACAUCCCACUCUGCUAAUAACUCCAUUGAUCAAACUCGUAACGUAAUUAACGAUUACGAUAAUUACAAUUACCAAUAACAUUAUUUGGAAUUUACCUCCAAAGAUAAGAGGACAUCUCACCGGUUCAGCCACACAAUAAUUCUGCAAUUGCUGAGCAACUGCAGAUACCUCUUCGUGCUCUUCUUUAGUCAGCGAAACUCCUCCAUCUGUUUGCGUUACCUUGGACAGAAUAGAAUCAACAAGAUCAUCGGGUCGCCCGGUUUGAACUUCCGGACUAGAGAUCGAAACCGAACACACGAUUCGCGGAGUUCUGUUCUGUCUAUAUUGAGAUGGCGAUGAAAAGGCAAUUGGAAAGUUUAGGGGUUUCGAUAGAGAGAUUAGGGGUCUGGGAUUGCAUAAUUCGGGGCCUCUGAAUGCAGGUAACAGAGCAAAGGAAGAAGAAGCAGCAGCAGCCAUUGGAGCUGCAGAAGAAGGUGCUGGAGAU